GGGUGAGUAACACGUGGGUGAUCUGCCCUGCACUUCGGGAUAAGCCUGGGAAACUGGGUCUAAUACCGGAUAGGAGCCAUUUUUUAGUGUGAUGGUUGGAAAGUUUUUUUCGGUGUAGGAUGAGCUCGCGGCCUAUCAGCUUGUUGGUGGGGUAAUGGCCUACCAAGGCGGCGACGGGUAGCCGGCCUGAGAGGGUGGACGGCCACAUUGGGACUGAGAUACGGCCCAG
rnacentral:rRNA from 1 species